GAAUUUAUUCCACUAAGGUGCAUGAGGUGCUUGCAUGUGAGGGAUUCUCCCAUCUUAUUUGCCACGGUGAUGAAUUCAGGGAUGGGCACUGAACCAAGGCAAGCAAAUCCAAAUGCUCCCUGGGACUUCUCAUUAGCACAGGCUCCGGACGUGCAGGCUCAGCGGCCAUGGCUCACGGGCCCAGCCACUCCGGGGCACGUGGGAUCUUCCCGGAUUGGGGCACGAACCCAUGUCCCCUGCAUCGGCAGGCGGACUCUCAACCACUGCACCACCAGGGAAGCCCUACUCUAAACUUUUUAAUUUGAAAUUAAAAAUUUAAAAAUAUCAAUUACUCAAUUUAUAUGUCUUUCUCAGAAAAAAAAGAGAAGUCAAACAAGAAAACCAGAAUUGUCUUCUCCUAUCACCCCUGGUGUUGGCAAAGAUUCAGAAAACCAGGUGUUCUUAUUCUUGGUGGGGAUGUGAAUCGAAAUAGUAGUUUUGGAGUAUGAUAGAUUGAUAUAAAAUUCCUUGGUUUUUAUGUAUUAUUCUUUAACAGCAAUUAGCAAAAUAUUAUUUGCUAAUAUUUUAUUUAGCAUCUUUUCAACAAUGUAAGUGAGGUUGGUACAUGUCACCAUUCUUGCCUAGUUUUGGUAUUAGAGUUGCACUAACUUUUCAGGAUGAAUUGGUAAUCUUUUAAAAUUUACUUAUGCCCUAGAACGGUUAGCGUAACAAAGGAAUUCUCCUUCCGGAAGGUUUAGUAGGAUGAAGCAUUUUUAAGGAUAGAUCACUGAUCAUCUUUAUAAAUUUUUCAACAGUUACUAAUCAGUUUAGAUUUUCUGCUUCUCCUGGACUCAAUUUCAUAUAUUCUCCUAUGUAAUCAAACAUUUCAUCUAG